rnacentral:misc_RNA from 1 species
ACAUUGCGACUGGGCUUCAUUAUGGUAAGCUAUCUGCUACUGAACUUGUGCAGGCUUAUUAGUCUUUCUGAAUCAAAACACCUUAAUACUUUUUAUCCUUUGAACUCUCAAAAUUAUGUUUUUUAUUUUCACUUUUAAAUAAUUCCUUCCAUAGACUCAUUGCAGAGGAAAUCCAAAAUUUAAUUUUCACAAGUAUAUGAUGCGUGCCCUUGAAGCAGACUUCAAGAAAGUUGUUGGAAUA